rnacentral:rRNA from 1 species
UAGAGUUUGAUCCUGGCUCAGGAUGAACGCUAGCUACAGGCUUAACACAUGCAAGUCGAGGGGCAGCAUCAUCAAAGCUUGCUUUGAUGGAUGGCGACCGGCGCACGGGUGAGUAACACGUAUCCAACCUGCCGACAACACUGGGAUAGCCUUUCGAAAGAAAGAUUAAUACCGGAUGGCAUAGUUUUCCCGCAUGGGAUAAUUAUUAAAGAAUUUCGGUUGUCGAUGGGGAUGCGUUCCAUUAGGCAGUUGGCGGGGUAACGGCCCACCAAACCUACGAUGGAUAGGGGUUCUGAGAGGAAGGUCCCCCACAUUGGAACUGAGACACGGUCCAAACUCCUACGGGAGGCAGCAGUGAGGAAUAUUGGUCAAUGGACGAGAGUCUGAACCAGCCAAGUAGCGUGAAGGAUGACUGCCCUAUGGGUUGUAAACUUCUUUUAUACGGGAAUAAAGUGAGCCACGUGUGGCUUUUUGUAUGUACCGUAUGAAUAAGGAUCGGCUAACUCCGUGCCAGCAGCCGCGGUAAUACGGAGGAUCCGAGCGUUAUCCGGAUUUAUUGGGUUUAAAGGGAGCGUAGGCGGGUUGUUAAGUCAGUUGUGAAAGUUUGCGGCUCAACCGUAAAAUUGCAGUUGAUACUGGCGACCUUGAGUGCAACAGAGGUAGGCGGAAUUCGUGGUGUAGCGGUGAAAUGCUUAGAUAUCACGAAGAACUCCGAUUGCGAAGGCAGCUUACUGGAUUGUAACUGACGCUGAUGCUCGAAAGUGUGGGUAUCAAACAGGAUUAGAUACCCUGGUAGUCCACACAGUAAACGAUGAAUACUCGCUGUUGGCGAUAUACUGUCAGCGGCCAAGCGAAAGCAUUAAGUAUUCCACCUGGGGAGUACGCCGGCAACGGUGAAACUCAAAGGAAUUGACGGGGGCCCGCACAAGCGGAGGAACAUGUGGUUUAAUUCGAUGAUACGCGAGGAACCUUACCCGGGCUUAAAUUACACCUGAAUAAUCUGGAAACAGAUUAGCCGCAAGGCAGGUGUGAAGGUGCUGCAUGGUUGUCGUCAGCUCGUGCCGUGAGGUGUCGGCUUAAGUGCCAUAACGAGCGCAACCCUUAUCUUCAGUUACUAACAGGUCAUGCUGAGGACUCUGGAGAGACUGCCGUCGUAAGAUGUGAGGAAGGUGGGGAUGACGUCAAAUCAGCACGGCCCUUACGUCCGGGGCUACACACGUGUUACAAUGGGGGGUACAGAGGGCAGCCAAGCCGUGAGGUGGAGCAAAUCCCUUAAAGCCAUUCUCAGUUCGGAUUGUAGGCUGAAACUCGCCUACAUGAAGCUGGAGUUACUAGUAAUCGCAGAUCAGAAUGCUGCGGUGAAUACGUUCCCGGGUCUUG